rnacentral:tRNA from 1 species
UGUUGUGGCUCAGUGGUAGAGUGCUCACCUAGCAAGUGUGAGUCCCUGGGUUCGAUCCUUAGAACAA